AUUCUGCCAUUUCUUUUCGAGUUUGAGCAUUUUCCUGCCUGCACAAAGGGAAGAUGAAGUAAUCCACGUAACUGCUUUUUCUGUUUGAACAUAAUGCCAGAGACACCAACAUCUGAAAUAACUCCUUUUCCUGAUUUCUUGUGCAUCCAAACAGGAGUGGAAGAGCAGUGCUUCUCAAAUGUGAACACAAGGCAACUAACAGCAGGAAUGUCUGGACCUGGGCUCUGGAAAGAGCUUGGCAUAGGCUUGGGAAGAAGAAUGUGGAAAGGUAGGUGGUGUUGGUGCAGUCUGAAAGUCCCACUCCAAGAUUCAAGAAACUUUAAGAAAUUUCAUUUAAGUUUUAUCUUAGAAAAUAACAUGAGGCUUUCA
rnacentral:lncRNA from 1 species